AACGAACGCUGGCGGCAUGCCUAACACAUGCAAGUCGAACGGGACCUUCGGGUCUAGUGGCGCACGGGUGCGUAACGCGUGGGAAGCUGCCCUUAGGUUCGGAAUAACUCCCCGAAAGGGGUGCUAAUACAGGAUAAUGUACUCGGACCAAAGAUUUAUCGCCUUUGGAUGGGCCCGCGUUGGAUUAGCCAGUUGGGAGGGUAAAAGCCUACCAAGGCGACGAUCCAUAGCUGGUCUGAGAGGAAGGUCCGCAACACUGGGGAUAAGACACGGCCCAGAAUCCUAGGGGAGGGAGGCGAGGGGAAUACUGGAAGAGGGGGGAAGGGCCGAACCCGCCAUGGCGGGGAAGUCGUUAAGGGGUUAGGGAAGUGAAGCAGUUUUACACGGGGUGAUAAUGACGGUACCGGGAGAAUAAGCACCGGCUAACUCCGUG
rnacentral:rRNA from 1 species